rnacentral:misc_RNA from 1 species
AAAAUGUGGUUUUAUUUGACCUGACAAUACUUAUUUUCACUUGUAAGUACAAGUUUCUGUUUAUGAAUAUGGUACAGUUUGUGUCAGCUACCGGUUCUGGUUUUGAAUUUGAUUUGGUGCUUGCUGCUGUUCGUACUGUUGUUUAUUCGUAGAACUUAAAACUUGUGUUUCAGGGUUAAUUAAUGAGAGGAAGAUUCUUCUUGUUCUUGAUUCUUCUUUCUUUAAAUCUAAUCCCAUUUUAGGGUGCAAAUCUUCAAAUUUAGUUCAUUGGUUCCUUUGAUUGACAACAACCACAACCACUGAUCCUAGUUUUGUGCUUUUUGUUGCUUUUAAUUUUCCGGGAUUCUGUGUAUUUAAUUUUGUUGUGAAUCUGUUUAUGGGGUGUGUGCAGUAAUUGAUGUGGUGAUUUUGCGUGUGGCUAACUUGUACUUGACGAUAUUUUUGGGUGAUUAUAGGAGUGCUUUUUUCCUUAAUUACUAGAGGGGUUUUCACCCUUUUCCUUUCAAACUAUUUUCUUGGGGUUUUUUUGUUAUCAUUGGAUAUUUUUCAUAUAUUUAUUUUGGAUGAAUUGUCAAAUUACACUGGUGUCAUUGUUAUUGCUAGCGUGAUCAUGGGUCCUGUUGCCCCUCUUUCUUCCUCUUUCUUUCAUUGUGCUAGUUGUAGUGGAGAUGACCCACUGGUUUUUUUUAUUACUAUGAUAUGUAUAUUUUUUAAAUUGAUAUGAUAUUGACAUUGCAAGAAGUGUUAUCUUCAGCAUUUCAAUUGUUUUUGGUUGACUCAUUAAUGUCCCUUGAUUUUGUGUGCUUAUUGUUUUUCUAGUUCUUUUUUCUGUUAAUUCUUGUGUUGUUGU